GAGCGACAGAGCAAGACUUUAAAAAGAAAAGAACCAGGUUGUACAGCAGGAGGUGAACAGUGAGCCAGUGAGCCAGUGAGCGUUAUCCCCUGAGCUCUGCCUCCUGUCACAUCAGCAAUGGCAUCAGAUUCUCAUAGCAGCUCGAACAGUAUUGUGAACUACGCAUGGAGGGAUCUAGGUUGUGCGCUCCUUAUGAGAAUCUAACUAAUGCCCGAUGAACAGUUUCAUCCCCAAAAUCAUCCCCUCCCACAACCACCCCCAUCUGUGGAAAAAAUGUAUUCCACCAAACCAGUCCCUGGUCCCAAAAAGGCUGGGGAUCACUGCUCUAGAGAACUCCAUGUGUGUCUGUGGAACUCGGGUGCACGGUUGCUUGAACCAAAUUGCAAAGACUUAUGCUAAAGUGAUAAUAUUUUGGACUACAAAUAGAGUUCAAUAAAAACAUGGUUAACAUUAAUUUCACCUGUUACUUACUGUGCCUAUUAGAAAACUAGAAAUUAUGUAUGUGGCUUACAUUGUAUUUCUAUUGGACAGCAAUGAUUAGGAAGUGCUUGACUCUUAAGCACUCAGUCAAUGUUAACUCUGAUUAUGUUUCAAGAAACUUUAUGAGGUCAAGGAAUGCAUAUUGUUUAGUGCUGUCUCCUGAGUAACUAAGAAUGUUGGCACAUUGAAGGUGGCCAACAAAUUGGUUGACUGAUGAAGUGCAGAACAGAUAUAUGCACUGCUGGUUUUUGGCCAGUGUUUGUUCUGCACUGUUGUCUGGGGCCUAUGUUGACUCUUAAAUGCACACAAUAUCACAGUUAGCUGGUUGGGUCCAUGGGGUCCAGCUCACAUUUUACUUCCUCCAGGAACCUACUAUAUUUCCAGUUCCUCCUCCCUAUUAUCUCUCCAAUGAGAAAUGAUCUCUCCCUCUUAUAAAGUCAUGCAACAUUUUGGAAAAAUAUUUCUUACAAGACUUAGCCCUGCUUUCAGAUAUAGCUCCUCUGACAUAUUAAUGUGAGUUCCUCCAGAGCCCACUCACUCUGAUGCCCCUGUCUUCUGCUUAUUGCUCUGAGCAGAGCAGGUGAUCGGUAUGAGUGUGUUGAACUGAAUUGAUAUUUUCUUAGCACCUUUCUUGUGUCUUUCUACACAGAACGUAGCAUCUGGCUGGCCACUGAAGUGCCCAAUAAAUACUUGCUAAAUAAAUAAACCAAUGGGACUGACCUGCUAAGGGAAGGAAUGGAACCACCUUUGUUAAUGUCAUAGGCAUUGCAAUGGUUGCCUUGGAGACCUUGCUUCUCUGUGGUCAGAACCACUGGUGCUUACAGUCAAGGGCAGGAAGAGUAAAGGGCAGGUUUUGGUAGACUAGUGGGAAAGGUGAGGCUGUUCCUAGGUUCCAAUCUCACCCCCAGAGAAUGCCAACCUGGGUGACUUUCUCCACAGCCUUUCCAAUACAGAGCACCAUCUGCUCUCAUCAAACACCAAGGCCUGGACAAGGUGAUGGCUCGCUCUUUAGUCAAUGCCCGGCAUUGGUCAAAUCAAACCAAACCAAACCAAGAUUUCUAUGCAGAAAAGACAGUCCAAUGCCACUCAUAAUAAUUUAGAACAUCUUUUGAAAAAAAAAAGAAAGCUAACCCCCAACCAAUAAACUCCCCCAAAUCCCGAAAGUAAAAUCCCUGGACUCUGUGUCUAUGGGUUUCCAUUGCGUGCUGUCACAGGGGAGAAUGGGAAAGGCAACGGAGCCCUUAGGGAGCAAGGAUGGGGUCACACAGUUCGUGACGCUGGGCUUCGGAUCUGAACUCUGCUACCUGCUGCCUCAGUAGUUCCUGGCAAGUUACUUAAUCUCUCUGAACCUCAGUUUGUCUUUCUGCGGUGGCGAUAGGUAACUUAAUUGUGAGAGCUAUGUGCCAGGUCCUAUUCUAAAUGAGACAGGUUCUAUUAAAGCCUAACAUGGAUGUCUUACUAUCACCUUCCUUUUACAGAUGGGGAACCGAAGCACAGAGAAGAUCUCAGGAUAAGGGUAACAGCGCCUGUUACUUUUCACUCCCUCAAGGAUGUUCCUCAAGAGAAAUAACAAAUGCUCGGAUUUCCACAAAAAUUUGAAAACUCAGGGAUCCCAGGUUGCAAGUCAGGUAACCUGCGCCUGCCCAGAUGAACCAAGUAUGCCCAAUUUGUGACCUCAGUGCUGUCCAGAAACAAAACGUCAACCACAGUUGAAGCCUAAGAACUUGGAUCAAGGAGCAGGGACUGAAUUAAGAAGCAGAGGAGCCCCGUUUCAUAGCAGUGCGGACUUAGCCAAGCACUUGUCACCGCCUCUUUGCAUGAUCUGAUCAAAUCAUGCCUCCUUGCAUCUUCCUGUCUCCCUCACAGUUACACUUUUGCAUCCUUGCCAGUUGACUUGCAAUAAAGCUUUUUCUUUUCCCCAAA